rnacentral:rRNA from 1 species
CUAAUACAUGCAAGUCGAGCGGACAGAAGGGAGCUUGCUCCCGGAUGUUAGCGGCGGACGGGUGAGUAACACGUGGGUAACCUGCCUGUAAGACUGGGAUAACUCCGGGAAACCGGAGCUAAUACCGGAUAGUUCCUUGAACCGCAUGGUUCAAGGAUGAAAGACGGUUUCGGCUGUCACUUACAGAUGGACCCGCGGCGCAUUAGCUAGUUGGUGGGGUAAUGGCUCACCAAGGCGACGAUGCGUAGCCGACCUGAGAGGGUGAUCGGCCACACUGGGACUGAGACACGGCCCAGACUCCUACGGGAGGCAGCAGUAGGGAAUCUUCCGCAAUGGACGAAAGUCUGACGGAGCAACGCCGCGUGAGUGAUGAAGGUUUUCGGAUCGUAAAGCUCUGUUGUUAGGGAAGAACAAGUGCGAGAGUAACUGCUCGCACCUUGACGGUACCUAACCAGAAAGCCACGGCUAACUACGUGCCAGCAGCCGCGGUAAUACGUAGGUGGCAAGCGUUGUCCGGAAUUAUUGGGCGUAAAGGGCUCGCAGGCGGUUUCUUAAGUCUGAUGUGAAAGCCCCCGGCUCAACCGGGGAGGGUCAUUGGAAACUGGGAAACUUGAGUGCAGAAGAGGAGAGUGGAAUUCCACGUGUAGCGGUGAAAUGCGUAGAGAUGUGGAGGAACACCAGUGGCGAAGGCGACUCUCUGGUCUGUAACUGACGCUGAGGAGCGAAAGCGUGGGGAGCGAACAGGAUUAGAUACCCUGGUAGUCCACGCCGUAAACGAUGAGUGCUAAGUGUUAGGGGGUUUCCGCCCCUUAGUGCUGCAGCUAACGCAUUAAGCACUCCGCCUGGGGAGUACGGUCGCAAGACUGAAACUCAAAGGAAUUGACGGGGGCCCGCACAAGCGGUGGAGAUGUGGUUUAGUUCGAAGCACCGCGAAGAACUUACCAGGUCUUGACAUCCUCUGACAACCCUAGAGAUAGGGCUUUCCCUUCGGGGACAGAGUGACAGGUGGUGCAUGGUUGUCGUCAGCUCGUGUCGUGAGAUGUUGGGUUAAGUCCCGCAACGAGCGCAACCCUUGAUCUUAGUUGCCAGCAUUCAGUUGGGCACUCUAAGGUGACUGCCGGUGACAAACCGGAGGAAGGUGGGGAUGACGUCAAAUCAUCAUGCCCCUUAUGACCUGGGCUACACACGUGCUACAAUGGACAGAACAAAGGGCUGCAAGACCGCAAGGUUUAGCCAAUCCCAUAAAUCUGUUCUCAGUUCGGAUCGCAGUCUGCAACUCGACUGCGUGAAGCUGGAAUCGCUAGUAAUCGCGGAUCAGCAUGCCGCGGUGAAUACGUUCCCGGGCCUUGUACACACCGCCCGUCACACCACGAGAGUUUGCAACACCCGAAGUCGGUGAGGUAACCUUUAUGGAGCCAGCCGCCGAAGGUGGGGCAGAUGAUUGGGGUGAAGUCGUAACAAG